rnacentral:lncRNA from 1 species
AUGAUGAUGUAGCUGACCUAUCAUGGAGGAGCAGGGGUGAUGAUGUAGCUGACCUAUCAUGGAGGAGCAGGGUGAUGAUGUAGCUGACCUAUCAUGGAGGAGCAGGUUGAUGAUGUAGCUGACCUAUCAUGGUGGAGCAGGCUGAUGAAGCUGACCUAUCAUGGAGGAGCAGGAUGAUGAUGUAGCUGACCUGUCAUGGAGGAGCAGGAUGAUGAUGUAGCUGACCAAUAAAGGAGGAGCAGGGUGAUGAUGUAGCUGACCUAUCAGGGAGGAGCAGGAGUCAUGAUGUAGCUGACCUAUCAUGGAGGAGCAGGGGUGAUGAUGUAGCUGACCUAUCAGGGAAGAGCAGGAGUGAUGAUGUAGCUGACCAAUCAUGGAGGAGCAGGAUGAUGAUGUAGCUGACCUAUCAUGGAUGAGCAGGAUGAUGAUGUAGCUGACCUAUCAUGGAGGAGCUGAAUGAUGUAGCUGACCUAUCAUGGAGGAGAGGGGUGAUGAUGUAGCUGACCUAUCAUGGAGGAGCAGGAUAAUGAUGAAGCUGACCUGUCAUGGAGGAGCAGGGGUGAUGAUGUAGCUGACCUAUCAUGGAGGAGCAGGGGAGAUGAUGUAGCUGACCUAUCAUGGAGGAGCAGGAGUGAUGAUGUAGCUGACCUAUCGUGGAGGAGCAGGAUGAUGAUGUAGCUGACCUAUCAUGGAGGAGCAGGGGUGAAAAUGUAGCUGACCUAUCAUGGAGGAGCAGGGGUGGUGAUGUAGCUGACCUAUCAUGUAGGACCAGGAUGAUGUAGCUGACCUUUCAUGGAGGAGCAGGAUGAUGUAGCUGACCUAUCAUGGUGGAGCAGGGUGAUGAUGUAGCUGACCUAUCAUGGAGGAGCAGGAUGAUGAUGUAGCUGACCUAUCAUGGAGGAGCAGGGGUGAUGAUGUAGCUGACCUAUCAUGGAAGAGCAGGGUGAUGAUGUAGCUGACCUAUCAUGGAGGAGCAGGCUGAUGAUGUAGCUGACCUAUCAUGGAGGAGCAGGAUGAUGAUGUAGCUGACCUAUCAUGGAGGAGCAGGAGUGAUGAUGUAGCUGACCUAUCAUGGAGGAGCAGGGGUGAUGAUGUAGCUGACCUAUCAGGGAGGAGCAGGAUGAUGAUGUAGCUGACCUAUCAUGGAGGAGCAGGGGUGAUGAUGUAGCUGAC